CAAUAGCGUAUAUUAAAGUUGUUGCAGUUAAGAAGCUCGUAGUUGGAUUUCUGGUCGGAAGCUCCUGUCCUCUGAUGAGCGUACAAGUGCGUCCUACCAUCCUUCUGUUAACCUUUAAGGCUUUCGCGGCUUUCUAGGGGCUCAGAUAUUUUACCUUGAGAAAAUUAGAGUGUUUCAGGCAGGCUAGCGCCGGAAUACAUUAGCAUGGAAUAAUGGAAUAGGACUUUUGCCUCUUCUGUUGGUCAUGAGGCUCGAGUAAUGAUUAAUAGGGAUAGUUGGGGGCAUUAGUACUUAACUGUCAGAGGUGAAAUUCUCGGAUUUGUUAAAGACUAACUUAUGCGAAAGCAUUUGCCAAGGAUGUUUUCAUUAA
rnacentral:rRNA from 1 species